UUGACGCAGGCGCAGUUUGGGGAGGGUGUGGCAGGCGCGCGCGAAGGUGCGCAGCAGCUCGGAGACCCUGCUGUAAGCCGGAAGCGAGAUGUGAACUCCGCUCUGCGCGUGUGCCCCUUCCUGUUUUCUCAUUACCUGAAGAAAAGGGGAGGACGGCCUGGAGUUCAGAUUGCAGAGGAGGUAAUGUUCCCACGACUGGUGCUGUAGAAAUAAAGCUGCGCCUUUCAAGAUGAAGGAGAAUAUUGAUCUUGAGGUUAUAAAAGCCCUACUGAUUUUGGAGAUGUUUAAAAGAUGCGACCUAAGGAGAGAGAGCCCAAGCAAGCGGAGCCCGGCGGAAUUCCUCCGGUAGAGGAAGAAGAGAUAAAACUGGAAUCCUGGGGCGGCAAUGCUGUGUGCAGAGUUCAGGAGAAAGGAGACCGCUGAUCAGAGAGAAAAGUCGGAGUUCUGCAGGGCUUUCUGUUUUUAUUUUUGUUUUUGGAUAUUUAGCUAAGGGACUUUGAGAAAAUUUCCCACAUGAAAACUUAAUCAAUGGGCAUUGGGUGUUCUACUCUGAGUCUUGCUGUGGUACUGACAAUUAGCCCUGGGCUGACAGCUGCUUUAGUGCCAUCUAAAUUCUUAAAAACAAGAUCCACAAGGAUCAGACUUAAGGAGUCACUGAAAAAGGUGACAGACCAAAUUCAUAGAGAUUUUUUAAAAAUCACAGACUUGCAAAAUACAAUUUGUAGUAGCAGUCUUUCAGUAAAUACAAAGGUCGCUUAAAUGAAAAAAGGAGAAAAAUGAGAUGCUGAUGAGAACUGAAAUAAGUACUGGAAUCUACAGACAAGGACAUUAAACAGUUGUACCUAUAUCCCAUAUGUUGAAAAAGAUAAACAACACUAUAACGAGAAAGAUCAUCCGUAGUUAUAAGGAUGUGGAAAAAGGAAUACUCAUGCUACUGGUGGGAUCUGUAAAAUGCUACAUAUACUUUAGGAAAUAUUGUUAAACUUAGCAUAUUAGCCACAAUUUCACUGCUGGAUAUAUACCCAAAAUCACUGAAAACAGCCCUCAAAAACUGUACCAAGUGCCAUUAGCAGCAUUAUUCACAAGAGCUAAAGGUAGAACCAACCACAGUACUGAAGUACUAUGAAAAUGUACUUCAGUGGAGUAAUAGUCAACAUAUGAAUAACUGCAGAAAUGAUCUCUCAGGACACAACAUGCAAAACCUUUGGUACAGCUGUGUAGUGGCGGGAAACAGCAGCACGUCAAUUGAAUUGGUGUAAAACAGUAUGACAGUCUACAUUUUCUCAAGGAAUGGCAUAUGUGGAGAUAUGCGUCAUUGAUUGAACUUUCAGCAACUGAAAACUCAACACAGCUUUCAUCUAUGAGCAGCAGGACACACACUUUUGGUUUUCCAAGUAUUUUCACACUUCUAGAGAAAUCAGCUCACUGGCUAUUAUCAUUGACCAUCAAGGACAAAUAUGCCAUGGCUAAUGUCCAUCCAACUGUUAAUGCAGCCUGUGCUUUUGUUGGACCUUCUGUUCCCAGUCUAAGGGAUUUUUCAUCAAAUUAAUACACUCUGCCUUGUUGGUAGGCAAAAUAAGUCAGUUUAGGAACCAUUAACAUCUAAACUUUUAUGCAAGAAGUCAGUAGGUAUACACUGCGAGCGCGUAUUUUUACUUUCUUGGCCCAAAUUCACUAAUGUAGAGUAUUUAAUAUAGAGUAUUAAAAACAUUUUGACAUUGAAAAUAAAAUUGUCAACAAAAGAAACUAUAUAAAUGUAUGAUCCCAAUACUUCUAUGCCAAUAGCAUAAAUACAUUUUAUACUUACAUAUGCAAAUUCUAUAGGCAUAGAUGCAUACGCUACCCUUAACAGAUGUAAGGUGUGCUGCUUGAAUAUAUAUGGCAAUGUAAUUGCUGUUUUUCAAAUGUAAGAAGGAAAACUACUCAAGUUAGUAGGAGAACUGUGUAUAGCCCCUUUUCCCAAGUAUAAUUUGAGUUUCUAUGACUCUUAAUUAUGAUAUGUCCACUUGAUUGGAGUAAGAAGUACUUAGCAAAUUAGUAAAACACAAUUUUGAGUGACUGUAGGUGAUUAAUAUGUACACCAGCAAACCAGCAGCCAAAGAUCCACCACGACUGUGGGUGGCACCACUCAAUGGGCUUGUAGCAGGGACUGAAUUAAAAACGAAAGGAAAAGGAAGUGUGCACACAUGGAAGAACACCGGGCUUUUUCUUGGAAGGUGUGUCCUUUGCUGCCAUCAUCUUUGGACCUCAGUCUCCAGGUCUGCAGUCUCUUCAGCCUUCAAAUACUUUCCUGUAAAAGAAACCCUGCAGUGAGCUCCAAGCCUUUGCCUUGGACUGCGUCUUUCAUCCUUCCUAUUCUGUGACUUCCACCUUCUUGUCUGUGCAGUUAUGAUAUCCUUUGAUUCUCUAGCACACAACUAGUCAUGCAAACUCUCCCACCUCUGAUGCUGUAAACCUACUUAGUAAACAACCUCAUGCAAUGAAA